GUCUACGGCCAUACCACCCUGAACGUGCCCGAUAUCGUCUGAUCUCUGAAGCUAAGCAGGGUCGGGCCUGGUUAGUACUUGCAUGGGAGAACGCCUGGGAAUACCGGGUGCUGUAGGCU
ensembl:rRNA 5S_rRNA 5S ribosomal RNA